rnacentral:rRNA from 1 species
UACGUAGGGGGCAAGCGUUGUCCGGAUUUAUUGGGCGUAAAGAGCGUGUAGGCGGCCAGGUAGGUCCGUUGUGAAAACUGGAGGCUUAACCUCCAGCUGUCGAUGGAAACCAUCUGGCUAGAGUCCGGAAGAGGAGAGUGGAAUUCCUGGUGUAGCGGUGAAAUUCGUAGAUAUCGGGAGGAACACCGGUGGCGAAGGCGGCGACCUGGGUCGAGACUGACGCUGAGGCGCGAAAGCGUGGGGAGCAAACAGG